GGCCCCGUCGUCUAGCGGCCCAGGACGCCGCCCUCUCAAGGCGGUAGCGCCGGUUCAAAUCCGGUCGGGGCUA
rnacentral:tRNA from 2 species